UCCAGAACCUUUCAAGGGACUGA
rnacentral:miRNA from 1 species